AAGAACUGUAGUAAACAUCGUAAUAAAGUACCACUAAUUCUCACAUUCUGUACUUCAGACAAAAAUUAAAAACUGAGGUUAGGUUUGGAUAAUGCAGAUCAAGUGAUGAAAAGGAGUACUGCAGUGACUGGCAUGGGGAUAGUGAUGCACCAGAACCCCUGAACAGGUCAAGGGUAUAUCACACGGGCUCACGUUAAGAGCAAUACAGUCUGGUGCAGUGAAGUAAGUGGGUCCAAGAAAACAGUACAUACAAUGACUACAACAAUGGAAAUGGAAAGACUACAAGGCAAUCAGAAGUGAAUGUUGCAGAUUUAUAAAGGGACAAGCUUGGCUACAAAGAGGAGACAUGAGAAGCCACCUCACCGUACUUCCUUUGCAGAGUGUUUGACUCCUGGAUAUAAUGAAAACCCUGGAAAAGUGACCUAAUCCACCAAACCUGGAAAAAAGAGAAAACAAUGCACUAGUAGUUGGGUCAGUCUGUAGGAUCAGAAUCAGCAAGAUUCAUCAUUGUUAAGCCCAGUGAUGAGUAAACUGUAUGAGCUCAAAGAACUGCAGGCCUGAUAUAAUCACAUGGCACAAGGGAAAUUAUUCUGGCAGUAGUAUGAAAAGGAUAGAGAAGAGAACGAAGGUGUUAGGACCAGCUGGGAGACUACUGCAAUAGUGCAGGCCUAGUGCUCUGUCUGCUUCUAGACCUGAUUGGAGAGGAGAGGUUAAAGAGGAUUACAAGGAAUACUAUCGUUCCAUAAGAAAUGAUGGGCAGGUGAACUUCACAAAAACCUGGACUUAACAUGAACUGAUGCUGAGUGAAGUG